AAGCAAAAUUCCAACACCUCGCGAGUUAUUCGCUUAGGACAAAAAUGUCCUCUGCAAGCAUGAGAGUGACAGAAGUUUAGGAUAGAAGGGACUUUUAUUUUAGGAACAGAAUGCCAAAUGAUCUGGUCUGCAUAUUAUUUCCAUAAAUAUGGGUUAUCCCAUAAAUAAUGUCUAGCUUCUCUCUUGAUCCUAUAUUUAAUCACUCUGGACAACUCGCCUGGUAGAGUAUUAGUGACUAAGUAAUUGAUGAUAUCAAUGUACUAGGGUGUUAAUU
rnacentral:lncRNA from 1 species